UUUAAAUCUUAAACCCUUCUUUCGAAUGGUUUGCAUAGAAUACUUUAACUCUUUGUAAAUUGAUGCAGGUUAUUUUAAUUGUCUCAAUGCAUUUUCAUGGCAAAAAAGCUUGCUUGUCGGUUAGAAUUGAAAAAGAUCUCGGCUCUGUCACUCACCUACCAAUUCCGCUUAGUGUCUGAGGCUCGGCGGAAUUUCGACCUGCUUCGGACAAUUUUUUCCAAAUGGUCUUAUUCACUGUUCAAUGGAACGGGUUCUACAUGGAGAGACUACAUCUGUUUGCUAAAUUCCAUAUCCCAAGAUCCAUUGAAGCGAAGCGGCCUCGCAGGGCUGUAGAUCAGCAGGAGACUAUCGGCAGGCAUUCCGUUUGUAGUCAAACACAGGGACGUCGACAGCACGCACCACAUUGAGCGUGGCCCUAUCAGACUAGAGGAUGGCAGUUGGGUCAUCUACAGGGUCUACCAACUCAAAAAGAUCAACGCCAUAUUCACAGCUAACGACCAGAUCUCAUGACAGUUACUGUAUUCAAGAUCAACCGGAGGCGAGACAAAUGGUUGAAAGAAUACCAACGCGAAAUGGAGCAUCCGAGGAAAGAUCUGGCAAUGAACAAUUUUUGGUUGAAAGUAGACUAAGUUUCACGAAGUUAUAAGUUAAAGUUUUUGUAUGCUCUGAUUGAGUGUUCAGAUUGAUUAAUUGCAAUAUUCAAAUUGAUUUAGUUAAAUUGUGCAUUUUGAAUAAUUAUUUUGAAGUACAACUAAUUUUUUGUACAUAGCUCAAGUGAAUUCAAUUUAU